rnacentral:rRNA from 1 species
AUGAACGCUAGCUACAGGCUUAACACAUGCAAGUCGAGGGGAAACGAUAUUGGAAGCUUGCUUUUGAUGGGCGUCGACCGGCGCACGGGUGAGUAACGCGUAUCCAACCUGCCCACCACUUGGGGAUAACCUUGCGAAAGUAAGACUAAUACCCAAUGAUAUCUCUAGAAGACAUCUGAAAGAGAUUAAAGAUUUAUCGGUGAUGGAUGGGGAUGCGUCUGAUUAGCUUGUUGGCGGGGUAACGGCCCACCAAGGCAACGAUCAGUAGGGGUUCUGAGAGGAAGGUCCCCCACAUUGGAACUGAGACACGGUCCAAACUCCUACGGGAGGCAGCAGUGAGGAAUAUUGGUCAAUGGACGAGAGUCUGAACCAGCCAAGUAGCGUGCAGGAAGACGGCCCUAUGGGUUGUAAACUGCUUUUAUAAGGGAAUAAAGUGAGAGUCGUGACUCUUUUUGCAUGUACCUUAUGAAUAAGGACCGGCUAAUUCCGUGCCAGCAGCCGCGGUAAUACGGAAGGUCCGGGCGUUAUCCGGAUUUAUUGGGUUUAAAGGGAGCGUAGGCCGGAGAUUAAGCGUGUUGUGAAAUGUAGAUGCUCAACAUCUGAACUGCAGCGCGAACUGGUUUCCUUGAGUACGCACAAAGUGGGCGGAAUUCGUGGUGUAGCGGUGAAAUGCUUAGAUAUCACGAAGAACUCCGAUUGCGAAGGCAGCUCACUGGAGCGCAACUGACGCUGAAGCUCGAAAGUGCGGGUAUCGAACAGGAUUAGAUACCCUGGUAGUCCGCACGGUAAACGAUGGAUGCCCGCUGUUGGUCUGAAUAGGUCAGCGGCCAAGCGAAAGCAUUAAGCAUCCCACCUGGGGAGUACGCCGGCAACGGUGAAACUCAAAGGAAUUGACGGGGGCCCGCACAAGCGGUGGAUUAUGUGGUUUAAUUCGAAGCAACGCGAAGAACCUUACCAGGUCUUGACAUCGAUCUAAAGGCUCCAGAGAUGGAGAGAUAGCUAUAGAGAAGACAGGUGGUGCAUGGUUGUCGUCAGCUCGUGCCGUGAGGUGUCGGCUUAAGUGCCAUAACGAGCGCAACCCCUCUCCUUAGUUGCCAUCAGGUCAAGCUGGGCACUCUGGGGACACUGCCACCGUAAGGUGUGAGGAAGGUGGGGAUGACGUCAAAUCAGCACGGCCCUUACGUCCGGGGCUACACACGUGUUACAAUGGCAGGUACAGAGAGACGGUCCCUUGCAAAACGGAUCAAAUCCUUAAAGCCUGUCUCAGUUCGGACUGGGGUCUGCAACCCGACCCCACGAAGCUGGAUUCGCUAGUAAUCGCGCAUCAGCCAUGGCGCGGUGAAUACGUUCCCGGGCCUUGUACACACCGCCCGUCAAGCCAUGAAAGCCGGGGGCGCCUAAAGUCCGUGACCGUAAGGAGCGGCCUAGGGCGAAACUGGUAAUUGGGGCU